ACAGAGUUAAAAAAAGUAUAAAAUGAGAGAUUGUAAUGUGUAUUCUUAUGUUUAAUAAAUGAAAAAAUGUCAAUGAAAAUGCACUACUAGAAUUGUAUUUAUUAAUACAGUAGUUUUUGUUCUGUUUAUUCAUUAUUUAUGGUUUAAUAGUUUAACUUGUACAUUGUACAAAGUGAUACAAUUCUAGUACACGUGUUCAUUGACAAAAAAAAUAAAAAAAAAAUUAAAAAGACAUGCCUUCCGCCAACUUCACUUAUUUAUUGUAAAAUCCUGCAACUUUUUCAGAGCCGUACAAUACAUAGAAAUUGAGAAAAAUUAAGCAUCCUGCAAACCUAUUGCACAGCAUCAUUCUUAAUGCUUUUUAUUCACUGUUGUAACAAAAACAAAUUAAAUUAAAAACAAAAAUUAUAAAAGAAGCUUGUUGAACAUCUUACAAUAUUAUUUUAUAUGCCCGUAAAUAAAGCUGGUCACGUAAAACGUUUUCAAUGGUAAAAUAAUAUAGAAAGCUUAAAAUAGAAUAAAUAAUUUUAUAAAGUUAUUUUUAAACCCCGCCAGUCCUAUUUAAAUUUAUCAUAUAUUCUGUCAGAAGUUUCUAUUUUCCAUAAGAACUAUUUUUAACAAAAUCUGUCUCUCUCUCUCUGGUCUCACUGUUGCAAGUUACAACAGACACAUAAAUAUUUUUGGAGACAUUAAACAGUGGAUUCUAUCCCCUCCCAAAUCCACUUCGCAAAAAAAAAAAAAAAUCUUCAAAAUACAUUUUAGAAAUAGGCUAAAUGUGGCUUCCACAACAGCACGGGUAUAUCAAAUAAAAUCUGACAAAAAGUGCUUUCUUGCCUAUUAUCAAAUGCAACAAUUACUUUGAGGAGUAAUACUACACUGUACCUCACAGAGGUUUGCUUUAAUCCAGUAUAUCUCCUUCAUUUAAUUUAGUAUAUCUGCAGAUGUUAGACUGAGUGGAGCAGUAAACACAUUGUCCUUGCUUCCAAAUUCUUUUGAAAGGAAUUUAGGAAAGCAAAGAAAUUCCAAAAUGGC